rnacentral:rRNA from 1 species
GAUGAACGCUGGCGGCGUGCCUAAUACAUGCAAGUCGAGCGAACAGAUGAGGAGCUUGCUCCUCUUACGUUAGCGGCGGACGGGUGAGUAACACGUGGAUAACCUACCUAUAAAACUGGGAUAACUUCGGGAAACCGGAGCUAAUAACGGAUAAUAUAUUUAACCGCAUGGUUCAAUAGUGAAAGACGGUUUUGCUGUCACUUAUAGAUGGAUCCGCGCCGCAUUAGCUAGUUGGUAAGGUAACGGCUUACCAAGGCGACGAUGCGUAGCCGACCUGAGAGGGUGAUCGGCCACACUGGAACUGAGACACGGUCCAGACUCCUACGGGAGGCAGCAGUAGGGAAUCUUCCGCAAUGGGCGAAAGCCUGACGGAGCAACGCCGCGUGAGUGAUGAAGGUCUUCGGAUCGUAAAACUCUGUUAUUAGGGAAGAACAAAUGUGUAAGUAACUAUGCACGUCUUGACGGUACCUAAUCAGAAAGCCACGGCUAACUACGUG